UACAGAGGGGGCAAGCGUUGUUCGGAAUUACUGGGCGUAAAGGGCGCGUAGGCGGCCUUCUAAGUCGAACGUGAAAUCCCUGGGCUCAACCCAGGAACUGCGUCCGAUACUGGAAGGCUUGAAUCCGGGAGAGGGAUGCGGAAUUCCAGGUGUAGCGGUGAAAUGCGUAGAUAUCUGGAGGAAUACCGGUGGCGAAGGCGGCAUCCUG
rnacentral:rRNA from 1 species